AGGACGAACGCUGGCGGCGCGCUUAACACAUGCAAGUCGAGCGAGAACCAGGCCUUCGGGCCUGGGGAAAGCGGCGAACGGGUGAGUAACACGUGGGUAACCCACCCUUGGUACCGGGAUAGCCCGAGGAAACUCGGAUUAAUACCGGAUGGCCCAACAGCUCUUCGGGGCGGUUGGAAAAGGUAGCUUCGGCCUCCGACCAAGGACGGGCCCGCGGCGGAUUAGCUUGUUGGUGAGGUAACGGCUCACCAAGGCGACGAUCCGUAGCUGGUCUGAGAGGACGAUCAGCCACACUGGGACUGAGACACGGCCCAGACUCCUACGGGAGGCAGCAGUGGGGAAUCUUGCGCAAUGGGCGAAAGCCUGACGCAGCGACGCCGCGUGGGGGAAGAAGGCUUUCGGGUUGUAAACCCCUUUCAGGAGGACGAAGCCACUCGGGUAAUAGCCCAGAGGGUGACGGUACUUCCAGAAGAAGCCCCGGCUAACGUACGUGCCAGCAGCCGC
rnacentral:rRNA from 1 species